rnacentral:sRNA from 1 species
CAGGAACAGGGGAAACCUAAGAGGGGUCCACCACUUCCUUUUUCUCAGGAGUCCCUGCAUCCCUAAUGGCUUCUCUCUGAUCUCAUUCAGCCAACGGGGCUGUUCCUGAUGUCCUGCAGCAGGGCCGGUUGCUGGUUGUGGACUAUGCCACCUGCUCCAGCUCUGCCUGGUGGGGCAGCAGCGUGAAAACCAGUAUGAUCUGUGCUGGGGGUGAUGGCGUGAUCUCCAGCUGCAACGGAGACUCCGGCGGGCCGCUGAACUGUCAGGCAUCUGACGGCCAGUGGCAGGUGCAUGGCAUCGUCAGCUUCGGGUCUCGCCUCGGCUGCAACUACUACCACAAGCCCUCCGUCUUCACGCGGGUCUCCAAUUACAUCGACUGGAUCAAUUCGCCCUCAGUUGUGGGGUCUCCACUUACCUGCCUGAUAUGUCUAGGAUGCUUGGAGGUGAAGAAGCGAGGCCCAACAGCUGGCCCUGGCAGGUCUCCCUGCAGUACAGCUCCAAUGGCAAGUGGUACCACACCUGCGGAGGGUCCCUGAUAGCCAACAGCUGGGUCCUGACGGCUGCCCACUGCAUCAGCUCCUCUGAGAUCUACCGCGUGAUGCUGGGCCAGCAUAACCUCUAUGUUGCAGAGUCCGGCUCGCUGGCCGUCAGUGUCUCUAAGAUUGUGGUGCACAAGGACUGGAACUCCGACCAGGUCUCCAAAGGGAACGACAUUGCCCUGCUCAAACUGGCUAACCCCGUCUCCCUCACCGACAAGAUCCAGCUGGCCUGCCUCCCUCCUGCCGGCACCAUUCUACCCAACAACUACCC